GAGUUGGUGUCUGGAGGAGUUGUCUCGUUCAAAUAACGACCAGUCAGAAAAUGCUCAAAAUAUAGAGGCAUAUGAUUUGGAGAUAAAACACAUUAAUGGUACUGCGAACAUCAUUGCUGACGCACUCAGCCGCGCGCUGGUUUAGCAUCGGUUUUCAGUGGUGUGGAGGGAGGUACAGAUGUUGGAGAGGACGUGGGAUUUGGCAAUAAAGUGCUGUUCGGACGUGACCAGUGAGCCUGGAUCACCAAUCUGGGGAAAGAAACCUUCCCUCGUUUUGCCUUCUCCCUUUUUCUCUCUCUCCCGCUGUCAGGCUGUACAUCCAAGCACGCGUUUUUAGUGCAUUACAGUCUGGCGAUUGGGAGUGAGUCUUCGUGAGUGACACAUAGCCUAACAUACCCCAUACCAUGUUUACAUUUGUUGGUAUUUGGUUUGUUUUUUGAAGUUAAAAUAAAUUAGUUUGUUAUUGUUUCAAACUGGUGGUGGUCUCCCCUUUUAUGUCGUGGUCAUACGAGCCUGACUGUGACACACACACAAACACACUCUUGAAACCUUGAAAAGCUGUAUUUGAAACAGCUGAUUCAUUCAUAAU